rnacentral:rRNA from 1 species
AGUGAACGCUGGCGGUAGGCCUAACACAUGCAAGUCGAACGGCAGCACAGUAAGAGCUUGCUCUUACGGGUGGCGAGUGGCGGACGGGUGAGGAAUACAUCGGAAUCUACUUUUUCGUGGGGGAUAACGUAGGGAAACUUACGCUAAUACCGCAUACGACCUACGGGUGAAAGCAGGGGAUCUUCGGACCUUGCGCGAUUGAAUGAGCCGAUGUCGGAUUAGCUAGUUGGCGGGGUAAAGGCCCACCAAGGCGACGAUCCGUAGCUGGUCUGAGAGGAUGAUCAGCCCCAAGGGGGAAGAGACACGGUCAAGACUCAGCCGGGGGGGAGCAGGGGGGAAUAUUGAAAAAGGGGGGAAAGCCAUAUACACCCAUACCGCGUGGGUGAAAAAGGCCUGUGGGUUGUAAAACGCUUUUGUGGGGAAAAAAAAACAGCAGGUUAAUACCCCCCUGUUCUGAGGGGACCCAAAAAAAAAAAACCCGCUACCUUCG